rnacentral:rRNA from 1 species
AGACGAACUGUUCGAACGUUAUUCGGAAUCACUGGGCUUAAAGGGUGCGUAGGCGGUAUUAUAAGUGAGAUGUGAAAUCCCUCAGCUUAACUGAGGAACCGCGUUUCAAACUGUGGAACUGGAGUGAGACAGGGGUAAGCGGAACUUGCGGUGGAGCGGUGAAAUGCUUUGAUAUUGCAAGGAACACCAGUGGCGAAGGCGGCUUACUGGGUCUCAACUGACGCUGAAGCACGAAAGCCAGGGUAGCGAACGGGAUUAGAUACCCCGGUAGUCCUGGCUGUAAACGCUGAGUACUUGGUCGGAGGGCGCUCCAUAGCUUUCCGGCCGGAGCGAAAGUGUUAAGUACUCCGCCUGGGGAGUAUGGUCGCAAGGCUGAAACUCAAAUGAAUUGACGGGG